CGGCCAUCCAAAUACCAACAAACAACUCUCUCACACUCACUGCACAGAAAAAUAUGCCUUGUGAUUUCUCCUAGUUAUCCCCUUUGAUGGGAUGGGCCCGUUCUUUAUAACCCUACUUCUCUCCCUCCCCUUCUCUCUGUCCUCUCUUUCCAUUCCUUCUGUGACAGAAAAUGGAGGGAAAGUCUCAAACAAUUACUUGUGGGGCUGCCCUUAAACUACAAUAUAUCAGAAAUGGCUCAAGAGGACAAGCACUUCUCAUCUCUUUCAAUCACCCAUUUGAGCCAUUUUCUUCCAGGCUAGAUGAUAUGUCAAUUCUGCCCUUUCCAGUGUGGGUUUGCCUACAAACAUCCCCUUGGGAAUCAGAGGUCAUUUUAGUGCAAAUUGCAUUAAGGGGUAUGUGGAAGAGCACUUCUAUAAUGUAACUCUCCUUUUCUCCCUUUCUUUCUCAACUCUCAAUUCUCAACUCAACAACAACAACAACAAAAUUCCUUCAUAGGAUAGAAAAAGGCAGACAGGAUGGAGCCAGGCAAUUGUAGCUUUACUUGUGUACUUAAUUUUAGUUUCUUUCUUGUGCUAGCUUCCCUUUUUUGGUUAUAUCUCGUAACUUCUUGAGAUAUGUAGAGAUUCAAGACAGAAAAAUCAAGUAUUAUCAUCAUCAUCAUCUUCUACCGUUUAUUCACUCAUAGGUUCAUACAGAUACAGCAUCUGAAGAUUCUUAAUAUUCUAUCUCUACUUUAUGGUGUUGAAAAUUUUCUUAUCCAUCUAUCUUCAUCACUUCUUGUUACGAUGGUUUCAUGUAUAAAGUACUCUACCACGUAAGGGAAGAAACUUGAGGAGAAGAUGAUUAAUUAGAUCAAUUUGCUUUGUAAUUGCUGUGUUCCAUUCAUGAGAUUGCAUUUUGCUGUGUUAUUUAUUUCUCUUGUACUGGAUCUUUAAGAUCUCUCUCUCUCUCUCUCUUUCUACAUAUAACCCAAGUGCAAGCUCAAAUCUUGCUUCAGCAGUUGUCAUAUCUAAAUUUUGAGUUUUGUAUUUCUCUAAUUCCCAUAUUUUUGUGCUGUAAUUUGAGGACAUGUUUGUUAGUUA